CCUACGGGAGGCAGCAGUGAGGAAUAUUGGUCAAUGGGCGUAAGCCUGAACCAGCCAAGUCGCGUGAGGGAUGAAGGUUCUAUGGAUCGUAAACCUCUUUUAUAAGGGAAUAAAGUGUGGGACGUGUCCUGUUUUGUAUGUACCUUAUGAAUAAGGAUCGGCUAACUCCGUGCCAGCAGCCGCGGUAAUACGGAGGAUCCGAGCGUUAUCCGGAUUUAUUGGGUUUAAAGGGUGCGUAGGCGGGCUUUGAAGUCAGCGGUGAAAGUGUGUGGCUCAACCAUAGAAUGGCCGUUGAAACUGGGGGGUUUGAGUUUGUUAGAGGCAGGCGGAAGGCGUGGGGUAGCGGGGAAAGGCUUAGAUAUCACGCAGAACCCCGAGUGCGAAGGCAGCCUACCGGGGCAUAACUGACGCUGAUGCACGAAAGCGUGGGGAUCAAACAGGAUUAGAUACCCGAGUAGUC
rnacentral:rRNA from 1 species